UCCUGGCUCAGGAUGAACGCUAGCUACAGGCUUAACACAUGCAAGUCGAGGGGAAACGACAUCGAAAGCUUGCUUUCGAUGGGCGUCGACCGGCGCACGGGUGAGUAACGCGUAUCCAACCUGCCCACCACUUGGGGAUAACCUUGCGAAAGUAAGACUAAUACCCAAUGAUAUCUCUAGAAGACAUCUGAAAGAGAUUAAAGAUUUAUCGGUGAUGGAUGGGGAUGCGUCUGAUUAGCUUGUUGGCGGGGUAACGGCCCACCAAGGCUACGAUCAGUAGGGGUUCUGAGAGGAAGGUCCCCCACAUUGGAACUGAGACACGGUCCAAACUCCUACGGGAGGCAGCAGUGAGGAAUAUUGGUCAAUGGGCGAGAGUCUGAACCAGCCAAGUAGCGUGCAGGAUGACGGCCCUAUGGGUUGUAAACUGCUUUUAUAAGGGAAUAAAGUGAGUCUCGUGAGACUUUUUGCAUGUACCUUAUGAAUAAGGACCGGCUAAUUCCGUGCCAGCAGCCGCGGUAAUACGGAAGGUCCGGGCGUUAUCCGGAUUUAUUGGGUUUAAAGGGAGCGUAGGCCGGAGAUUAAGCGUGUUGUGAAAUGUAGAUGCUCAACAUCUGCACUGCAGCGCGAACUGGUUUCCUUGAGUACGCACAAAGUGGGCGGAAUUCGUGGUGUAGCGGUGAAAUGCUUAGAUAUCACGAAGAACUCCGAUUGCGAAGGCAGCUCACUGGAGCGCAACUGACGCUGAAGCUCGAAAGUGCGGGUAUCGAACAGGAUUAGAUACCCUGGUAGUCCGCACGGUAAACGAUGGAUGCCCGCUGUUG
rnacentral:rRNA from 1 species